AUGCAUCCACAGCAAAUUUCACCUACGGCAAACAGAGUUCCAUCUCCCUGCAUACAUGAGUGGAUCCGCUCUCUGUGGAAUCUGCUGGUUCAUGGCUCAUACCCCCAGCUCGGAAUGCACGAUGACCUUCACAACCACUAGAGGACCGUGGGGCCUGGUAAAUAAAGCCGGCGUCUCUACAUUUGGAGCUGAGGAAUUGACAAGCUUGGACAAGUACAAGGAGGUGGCUGAUGUUAACUUUUGGGGAACUGUCAGAGUCACGAAAGGCUUUUUGCCUCACAUUCGCCGAGCUCAAGUGAGUGGAAGGCAAUCUGCUACAAGGCAAAACUCACCUG